rnacentral:rRNA from 1 species
GACAGAGGUGCCAAGCGUUAGGCGGAAUCACUGGGCCUAAAGCGUGUGUAGGCGGGCCGUUAAGUGUCUUGUGAAAUCCCCCGGCUCAACCGGGGAAUUGCUGGGCAUACUGGCGGUCUUGAGCGAUCUAGGGGCAGAUGGAACAAGUGGUGGAGCGGUGAAAUGCGUAGAUAUCACUUGGAACGCCAAAGGUGAAGACAGUCUGCUGGGGAUCUGCUGACGCUGAGACACGAAAGCCAGGGGAGCGAACGGG